UACGUAGGGUGCAAGCGUUGUCCGGAAUUAUUGGGCGUAAAGAGCUCGUAGGCGGUCUGUCGCGUCGGCUGUGAAAACCUGAGGCUCAACCUCAGGCCUGCAGUCGAUACGGGCAGACUAGAGUUCGGUAGGGGAGACUGGAAUUCCUGGUGGUAGCGGUGAAAUGCGCAGAUAUCAGGAGGAACACCGGUGGCGAAGGCGGGUCUCUGGGCCGAAACUGACGCUGAGGAGCGAAAGCGUGGGGAGCGAACAGG
rnacentral:rRNA from 1 species